CUACCAGGGUUUCUAAUCCUGUUCGCUCCCCACGCUUUCGCUCCUCAGUGUCAGUAAUGGCCCAGAGUCCUGCCUUCGCCAUUGGUGUUCCUCCUGAUAUCUGCGCAUUCCACCGCUACACCAGGAAUUCCAGACUCCCCUACCAUACUCAAGCUCGCCCGUAUCGAAUGCAGGUCUGGGGUUAAGCCCCAGAGUUUCACAUCCGACGUGACGAACCACCUACGAGCUCUUUACGCCCAAUAAUUCCGGACAACGCUUGCACCCUAUGUAUUACCGCGGCUGCUGGCAC
rnacentral:rRNA from 1 species